GGUGUCCUACUCCUACAAAUAAGUGCCAACUAAAAGGGCAAACAAGGCAGUGGACACUCGUAUGUACAAGAUCUAAUGCCAUUUACAACAUGCAAAGACCAGCGAAAAAUAAAAUUCACACAAGACAUUUUAAAUCCAAGUGAAGAAAAACAUUUACACCUAGAAAACCCAUAGCUAAAAAUGUCUCGAAGUUUUAUGCCUGAUUGAAGAAAUAGCAUCCUACAACCAUGAAGAUGGCUUCAAUCCCCCUGAAAGUAAGUUAUAGGCUGCAGCAACACUAAUUUUCCUCCUCUUGUCUUCUAGCUCCAAAUGCUUCUUAUUGGAGAAAGAUUCUGGAAAGAUUGAAGCUGCAUUAAUUGAUGCUCCCUUAUCCUUUCUAUUUUUCUCAAACCUGGAAGAGAACUUCACAUGUGCUGCAAUGCAACCAUCUUCCUUGGUAGUUGGAAGCAGUC
rnacentral:misc_RNA from 1 species